UGUGUGGGGAUGAAUAUUGUUAACCUUUGUGUAUUGGUAGUUAUUUUGGCCUGCAUAUGGUAUAGCUACUGCAUUAUUGGGAUAAGCCGCUUGGCCUAGAGAUCAGUUGGAGAUGGGGAAUGUAAAUUCGGGAUCAACAACUCUGCACCAAAAGCAGCUAGAUGGCAUACAGCUAGAUGGCAUACUGCUAGACGAUGAGCUCUCGAUCGCUACAAAGUGCAUUCAAGAUCGUCAUUCUCAGUUGAUAAAAAAGCUUCUGUGUUCACUUUUCGAACACCUCGACUCGAUUCACACAGCCCAGGAAUUUCUGCUUUCCCAACCGAUGCAUUCUUUGAUAACUCACAAAGAGCGUACACACAUUGUACAUGCUCAGUCUUCUCAAGAAUUGCUGGAAGUUUGCUCUGGAAAGUUCAGGUGGUACGAUAGCAUGGCACUGGAGGAGCUAUUUGAGUUCAUUCAAAGAAAUGAAUUAGAAAUGAAGAUGAAGCAUCUAAAAGAUGAAAUUCUUCUGGUGGUUCGCCAGUUUUUUGAGGAACAUGGUCGAAUCAUCAAGGAUCCCUCGAGUGGUUGCACUAUAGUUAUGGUGGACUCUUACUUAAGACAGAGUGAUUCUGAUGAGUGUAUGAUGUACAAGCUCUACCAUUUGGCAUCAGGUGCCUUAGCCCUGAAGAAUGAUAGUGCGCUACAACUUCAAGACACACAGCUCAAGAAAGAUUUGACACCACCAAAUGAUUCCUGCAUUGGUAAUGAUCAUGUUGGAAAGCUGCCGACGAGAAUCCAGCACAAGACAAGUCUGACCAAGAGUAGGCGUUCUGAUAGGAGUUCGACAGGAGACUCACUCUCAGAUGUUGAUAUUGACGAACUAACCUCUACAUAAUUCCAUUACAUGAUUGUAUAAUACUUUCUAUAUGCUGGGUGUCCAACUGUAUAUGUAUAUAUGUGUGUCAUAAACGAUAUGAAAAUAUGUAUCAAGCAAA